GACGAACGCUGGCGGCGUGCUUAGCACAUGCAAGUCGAGCGGUAAGGCCCUUUCGGGGGUACACGAGCGGCGAACGGGUGAGUAACACGUGGGUGACCUGCCUCUAGCUCUGGGAUAAGCCCGGGAAACUGGGUCUAAUACUGGAUAUGACUCCAUGACGCAUGUUGUGGGGUGGAAAGCCUUGUGCGGCUAGAGAUGGGCCCGCGGCCUAUCAGCUUGUUGGG
rnacentral:rRNA from 1 species